rnacentral:misc_RNA from 1 species
UCCAACUGUUCGCAGAGGGGGACGCCGAAGGCGGGGCUGAUGACUGGGGUGAAGUCGUAACAAGGUAGCCGUACCGGAAGGUGUGGCUGGAUCACCUCCUUUCAGGGAGACCUACCUGUCCGCAGGAAGCGAGAUGAGAUAGACGCGCUGCGGGGAGGGUCACCCAAGGUCGGUCGGGGUUGGAAUCGAAUGGCUUUCAAGUUAGGUUUAGGUGUGUGGGUGGGGGCU